GACGAACGCUGGCGGCGUGCUUAACACAUGCAAGUCGAACGGUGAAGGGAUCAGCUUGCUGGUUCUGGAUGAGUGGCGAACGGGUGAGUAACACGUGAGUAACCUGCCCCCUUCUUCUGGAUAACCGCAUGAAAGUGUGGCUAAUACGGGAUAUUCUGCGCCUGCUGCAUGGUGGGUGUGGGAAAGAUAUUGUUUCGGUGGGGGAUGGGCUCGCGGCCUAUCAGCUUGUUGGUGGGGUGAUGGCCUACCAAGGCGGUGACGGGUAGCCGGCCUGAGAGGGUGGACGGUCACACUGGGACUGAGACACGGCCCAGACUCCUACGGGAGGCAGCAGUGGGGAAUAUUGCACAAUGGGCGCAAGCCUGAUGCAGCGACGCCGCGUGAGGGAUGGAGGCCUUCGGGUUGUGAACCUCUUUCGCCAGUGAAGCAGGCCUGUCCCUUGUGGGUGGGUUGACGGUAGCUGGAUAAGAAGCGCCGGCUAACUACGU
rnacentral:rRNA from 1 species